rnacentral:rRNA from 1 species
GACGAACGCUGGCGGCGUGCUUAACACAUGCAAGUCGAACGGAAAGGCCCUGCUUUUGUGGGGUGCUCGAGUGGCGAACGGGUGAGUAACACGUGAGUAACCUGCCCUUGACUUUGGGAUAACUUCAGGAAACUGGGGCUAAUACCGGAUAGGAGCUCCUGCUGCAUGGUGGGGGUUGGAAAGUUUCGGCGGUUGAGGAUGGACUCGCGGCUUAUCAGCUUGUUGUUGGGGUAGUGGCUUACCAAGGCUUUGACGGGUAGCCGGCCUGAGAGGGUGACCGGCCCCAUUGGGACUGGGAUAGGGACUAGACUCCUAAGGGAGGAAGGGGUGGGGAAGAUUGCACAAUGAGCGGAGGUCUGCAGCAGCACUGCAGGGCACGGGAGGAAGGCGUUCGGGUUGUAAACCGCGUACGGCUGUGACGAAUAGUGUAGGACGGGAAUGGGUAAAGAAGCAAGGGCUAACUACGUG